rnacentral:ncRNA from 8 species
UGUGGGAGCGAGCUUGCUCGCGAUAGCGGUGUGUCAGUCACUGUUCUUCUGGCUGAUCCACCGCUAUCGCGAGCAAGCUCGCUCCCACA